CUCAAAAUAAAGAAAGAAGAAAGCCCAACAGGUGGUGAGACAAGAAGAGGAAGAGCCCCUGGCUGUAAGCCAUGCAGGUGCCCUUUGUCCUCGCAUCCUUGACUCAGGAGAAGGAAGGAUCAAGAGGAAAACAGAAGUCUGGAUACGAGUUUGCAGAGACAAAGGUGAAAUGAGAAAAAGGGGGAGAAAGAAAUACAGAAGAGAAGACAAGACAAGAAGGGAGUCAGCAAACAAGAGAAUAAGAGAGAGCAGAAAGAGUCCUUGGAGGAAACCAGUUAAGAGAAGUUUCAACUAGAGGGAAGAGGAAAGGACAUGUGCCCUGGUGCCGUUACCCUAGAGAGUGCCAGGCCUUGCCAACUGGCAGCACUUUUUGUGAGUCCACUUUUGCCACUGGGACACUUGUUUCUUCAGGGACCUUGUGUUUUUGUACAUGUGAAGUGUUUGGAUCCAAUGUGCUUCGUGAAAGAGAAGAGUCACACAUCGCUGGAAAAAGAGACCAGAUGUCUUUGAAAUCAUCUAAAUUGUCUCUAUUUAAAUAAAAAAAAAGUUACUCUUUCCA